GUUAUAACAGAAUUCCGCGCAAGGUCAGGGAAAGAUCCCUAUUCCGCUGGAACCCACGCAUGUAGGACCUCCUCCUUUGCCUUGCAGCAAGCUCUACGCGUGCCGUAACCACCUCCGUCAGGAGCGCCUUGGGUGGUUACAAGUUUGUGGCCUCCACUUGCUUCGUAUAGCACCAUAGUCACCCCAUUGCUAUAAGCCACGGGCUGACACCUUGAAUACCCCACCGAAGACGGAGAGAAAGAGGAGAAAGAGGUAGAGAGAGAGAGGACGCCAGAGGGUGCCAAUCGAUCGGGCAGCACCAUUGGAGCUCGAGCAGUUGCUCGCCGAGGCAUAGCUCCACCGUGGAGCCACCAUGAACCCUGGUCGACUCUCCAGAUCCGAUCCCUAACUUUGGUAAGCCCCUUGGCACAUUCGCCUCAUUCGUAGGAUCGUGUGGCACCGAUUGGAUUAGAGAUUAGGGAUUGGGGUGCCAGCUCCACCAACUUCGGCGAACCCGCCGCCGUGGGGAGGGCCUAUGCGCCGUCGUUCGGCCGCCUGGGUUGUGGGAGCAUGUCUAACCGCUAAUCUGGCCACCAACAGUCAGGAUUGGGGCCCCGUACUGGUUCGGCCCAGCUCAUCUUGGUCCUUGAUCAUCGGGUCAGUGGACGAAGUCUGAUAGCGAUGUUUUAAAAUCCUGACCAGAGAUUUUAGAUCCAAUGGCUCGUAGUGCGUACCGGUUCAAUUAAGUAAGGAAUAGAUCUAAGAGCUCGGGUCGUGAUCGGACGGUCGACCUUACCCCGUACCCCUUCGUGGCGCCAAUUUUACGGAUGAGCCCCUUGGCUUAUUCG
rnacentral:lncRNA from 7 species